rnacentral:rRNA from 2 species
AGGUGCAAUCAUACCCCCACUAAUGCACCGGAUCCCAUCAGAACCCCACAAUUAAGUGUGCUUGAGUGAGAGUAGCACUAGGAUGGGUGACCUCUUAGGAAGUCCUCGUGUUGCACCUC